ensembl:lncRNA
GGACCAGGUAGUUCUGUAACAGAGGGGAGAGGUCUCUAUGAACAACCAAGUAGUUCUGUAACAGAGAGGUCUCUAUGAACGACCAGGUAGUUCUGUAACAGAGGUCCAGCCAUCCGGGGAGAGCUGAGGGGGUUUCCUGACAGGGGCCUCCAAGCAGGAAGCAGCAUAGAUACAGUAGUGCACUAUAUAGGGAAUAGGGGUGCCAUUUGGGGUCAAUAGGAGAGCACUAUAUAGGGAAUAGGGUGCCAAUUUGGGGUCAAUAGUAGUGCACUACAUAGGGAAUAGGGUGCCAAUUGGGAUGCAUGCCUUUGUUUUCCAAUAACUACAGUAUUUUGAUUCAUAAGUGGGCUUAUUUGAUUUAUUUAACCAGGCAAAUCCUCAUUUACAAUGACGGCCGACCCCGGGCCAAACCCUGACGACGCUCGGCCAAUUGUGCGCCGCCCUAUGGAACUCCAAAAUCACGGCCGGUUGUGAUACAGCCUGGAAUCGAACCGGGGUGUGUAGUGACGCCCCUAGCACUGAGACGCAGUGCCUUAGACUGCUUUGCGCCGAUACCAAAACAUUCUCAUCUUGUUUGAGUUAGGGUAUUGCAAGUUUGACUAUCGCAAUAUCAUGGACCAUACCACAAUCUAAGAGACACUGCAAUGAAGCCACAAGCUCCAACAAGCCUCCAACUGAAAACAUCUGUGGGCAUCGUGUGUUGCUAUGGAGGUGAGGCAAUCCUCCACUGAGGCAAACAGAACAAUAACAGGUUGGUUUUUCCCUGUUCAGGUCCAAAUAAAAGUAUUUCCUUGGUAUUUUCUGCAUCCCUGUCUGUGUUAUUCAGUUGUUAUAAUUCUUGUUUUAAUUCUCUGAAAAAGUUUGUGUUCUUAACUCUUGACACAUCGAUCAGAAAUGGCUUUAACUCCCUAAUUGACAUGCCUG